UUUACUUAUUCAUUAUUUUUGAGAUGGCGUUUUGCUCUUUUUGCCCAGGCUGGAAUGCAACGAUGCCUUCUCAGCUCACUGUAAUCUCCGCCUCCUGGGUUCAGGCAAUUCUGCCUCAGCCUCCCGAGUAGCUGGGACUAUAGGCACCCACCACCGGGCCCAGUUAAUUUUUGUAUUUUCAGUAGAGACAGGAUUUCACAAUGUUGGACAAGAUGGUCUUGAUCUCUUGACCUUGUGAUCCACCCGCCUCAGCCUCCCAAAGUGCUGGGAUUACAGGCGUGAGCCGCGCCCAGCCUAUUUUUAUUUUUUAGUAGAUAUGGGGUUUUACCACAUUGCCCAGGCUGGUCUCAAACUCCUGACCUCAAAUGAUCCACCCACCUUGGCCUCCCAAAGUGCUGAGAUUACAGAUGUGAACCACUGUGCCUGGCCAGUUUUUUGUUUUUUGUUUUUAAAUUUUAACCUAGCAUUAAAAAAAACAAGGGUGCUUCUUUUUGGACCACAUUUCAAAUUCUAGAACUUUCACUGAUCAAGUGUUGAGGCCUUAAAAUGCUUUAUAAGAAGAUGAUAGAUGUUCCAAGCAGAAAGAUACACUUGGCAGAUAGCAUGUUCCGCUCAUUGGCUCUGCACUAACAUAAUGGAAUCUUUGUUCAGAUGUUGAUGGUGCUAUUAAUACACCGUGACUCACUAAAAGCCUGGCUUCCUGGAAUGUUCUUCCCAGGGAGGUGAUGUGACGUUCCUCCUAUGGAAGAAGAAUCUGUAAUCACACUUUCAAAGGCGUGAGCAGAUCUUGAAGGCUUAGCAAAGGGAACAAAAGCUUCCUAAAUUAUACAGAAUUAUUAAACAAAUUGCCAUCCCCACAGGAAGGGGGAAAGCAUCAGUUGUACAUACCACUUCUUCACUCAGUCCGCAAAUAUGUCUCAGGUGUUUGCCACGUGCACCAAGUUAGCAGUGAACACUCACGCCUUCCCUCCUGGGCUGACAGGCAGCAGGAAGACCGACCUGAAAUGAACAAUCCUUUCAUUACAGAGAAAGGGAGAGUAUGCAAGGAGCGUGUAUGUAGGGCUUCUGUUCUAUCAGCAAGAUUUUCUGACACAUCAUAAUGGAAGGAUUAACUAGUGGAAGGAUUGAGCCUGGUGCAGGGGACAUGGAGACCAUCUUAGCCAAUUGAUGGCUUAACAGGCAGUCUCACUCUAUGGCCCAGUCUAGAAUACAGUGGCGUGAUCUCCGCUCACUGCGACCUCUGCCUUCUGGGUUCAAGCGAUUCUCUUGCCUCAGCAUCCUGAGUAGCUGAGAUUACAGGUCCAAGCAGAAGCCAGGCACAGACGAGCAAACGCCUCUGCCGGUGUUACUGAAGGGGCCGUGCAGCGCGUACUCACCACACUGGCCUUCUUCUCAGCAUUGGUCUGCCUCACCCAGCGCAGCUGCGUCAGG